CAGUCGCCACGGUAAUACGAAGGGUGCAAGCGUUACUCGGAAUUACUGGGCGUAAAGCGUGCGUAGGUGGUGGUUUAAGUCCGUUGUGAAAGCCCUGGGCUCAACCUGGGAAUUGCAGUGGAUACUGGGUCACUAGAGUGUGGUAGAGGAUAGUGGAAUUUCCGGUGUAGCAGUGAAAUGCGUAGAGAUCGGAAGGAACGUCUGUGGCGAAGGCGACUAUCUGGGCCAACACUGACACUGAGGCACGAAAGCGUGGGGAGCAAACAGGAUUAGAUACCCCUGUAGUCCCUGUCUCUUAUAC
rnacentral:rRNA from 1 species